CACACCGCCCGUCACACCAUGGGAGUCGUUUGCUCCAGAAGUGGCUGCGCCAACCCGCAAGGGAGGCAGGUCCCCAAGGAGUGCACGGUAAUUGGGGUG
rnacentral:rRNA from 1 species